UACGUAGGUGGCGCGCGUUGUCCGGAUUUACUGGGCGUAAAGAGCGCGCAGGCGGUCGUUCAAGUCGAGUGUGAAAUCCCCCGGCUCAACUGGGGCGGGUCACUCGAUACUGAUCGACUCGAAGGCGGGAGAGGGAAGCGGAAUUCCCGGUGUAGUGGUGAAAUGCGUAGAUAUCGGGAGGAACACCAGUGGCGAAGGCGGGUUCCGGGCCCGUUCUUGACGCUGAGGCGCGAAAGCGAGGGUAGCAAACGGG
rnacentral:rRNA from 1 species